rnacentral:sRNA from 1 species
AAGUGAAAUAUUCGACUUCGUCAAAUGUGAAAUGUUGACUUCGUCAACGUGAAAUAUUGAACAGCAAUGCUGUUCAAUGUGAAAUAUCCG